AACGCUAGCUACAGGCUUAACACAUGCAAGUCGAGGGGAAACGACAUCGAAAGCUUGCUUUUGAUGGGCGUCGACCGGCGCACGGGUGAGUAACGCGUAUCCAACCUGCCCACCACUUGGGGAUAACCUUGCGAAAGUAAGACUAAUACCCAAUGAUAUCUCUAGAAGACAUCUGAAAGAGAUUAAAGAUUUAUCGGUGAUGGAUGGGGAUGCGUCUGAUUAGCUUGUUGGCGGGGUAACGGCCCACCAAGGCAACGAUCAGUAGGGGUUCUGAGAGGAAGGUCCCCCACAUUGGAACUGAGACACGGUCCAAACUCCUACGGGAGGCAGCAGUGAGGAAUAUUGGUCAAUGGGCGAGAGCCUGAACCAGCCAAGUAGCGUGCAGGAAGACGGCCCUAUGGGUUGUAAACUGCUUUUAUAAGGGAAUAAAGUGAGUCUCGUGAGACUUUUUGCAUGUACCUUAUGAAUAAGGACCGGCUAAUUCCGUGCCAGCAGCCGCGGUAAUACGGAAGGUCCGGGCGUUAUCCGGAUUUAUUGGGUUUAAAGGGAGCGUAGGCCGGAGAUUAAGCGUGUUGUGAAAUGUAGACGCUCAACGUCUGCACUGCAGCGCGAACUGGUUUCCUUGAGUACGCACAAAGUGGGCGGAAUUCGUGGUGUAGCGGUGAAAUGCUUAGAUAUCACGAAGAACUCCGAUUG
rnacentral:rRNA from 1 species